UGUUUCUUUCUCACCUUUCCUAUCCAUAUUCACCUGCUUGUAUCGAUUUCUUCGAAGCUCAACAAUGGAGUUUUGAAAACCGAUUUAGGUUUAAUUAAUUGAAAAUUUGAAUAUCGGACCUUUGAUUUCUUUGACCGUGAAUGUGUGAAUUGAUUGAUUUUAUGAGCGUUUUGGUACCAUUUUGCGGGGAUUGUCUUCGUCUUCGCUGUGUUCUUUUUUGUCUUUUUCGAAAGGGUUUGGUUAGUGUGAAUCAUCAAUGGCGGAGCGGAGGUUCGGCGUAGGCUAUGCGCUGGCGCCGAAGAAGCAGCACAGCUUCAUUCAAGAUUCGCUUGUGAGCCUUGCGAAGUCUCGCGGCGUCGAUCUUGUUCGCAUCGACGAGGACCGUCCGCUGGCAGACCAGGGACCGUUCGAUUGUGUCCUUCACAAGCUUUACGGCGUUGAUUGGCGGCGGCAGUUAGAGGAUUUUAGGGUUAUUAACCCUAAUGCGGUGAUCAUUGACUCGCCUGAGGCGAUCGAGCGGCUACAUAACCGGAUAUCGAUGUUGCAGGUGGUGUCGGAGUUGAGGAUUGAGGACCGGAGUGAGACGUUUGGGAUUCCGAAGCAGAUAGUGAUUUAUGAUAAAGAAACGUUGCUCGAUCGGCCGGCAUGGGAGGGGCUCAAGUUUCCGGUAAUCGCGAAGCCUCUUGUGGCUGACGGAAGCGCCAAGUCUCAUAAGAUGGCGCUCGUCUUUAACCACGACAGUCUCAACAAGCUGAAGCCGCCUAUUGUUUUGCAGGAGUUUGUGAACCAUGGUGGGGUGAUUUUUAAGGUAUAUGUGGUUGGGGAGUAUGUUAAAUGCGUGAAGAGGAAGUCGCUGCCAGACGUGUCGGAGGAGGAGAAAGUGGGUAGCUUGGAGGGCUUGUUGUCUUUCUCGCAGGUGUCGAAUCUCGCUACCAACGAGAGAACUGACGAUAAGUACUAUAAGAAGAUGCAUUUGGACGAAACCGAGAUGCCGCCUCAGAGCUUGCUUAUCGAAAUUGCAAGGGGCUUACGGCGGGCUAUGAAAUUGCAUCUGUUCAACUUCGACGUUAUUCGGGAUGCCAGGUUUGGAAACCGGUACCUUAUAAUUGACAUCAAUUAUUUUCCUGGGUAUGCAAAAAUGCCAGGCUAUGAGAGAGUAAUGACGGAUUUCUUUUGCGACAUAAUGCACAAGAAAGAGAGAGAGGCAGAAAAGGUUAUGGCGGAGAAAGAUGAGAAUGGCGUUGAUGACCAUAGCUGUGAAAAAGAAGUGAGAAAACUUCUAAGCAAUACUUGCAGCAGUGAUGGUGAAGAUGGAGUUCUACCAGUUUCCCCUAUUGGCAGAGAAGAGGAGAAACCAAUUCAAGUAUGAAUCAGGAAAUGAGGGUACGUGAUAUGAGUGGAACUUGUUUUUCAUAUGUUGAAACAGUGCUGAAUGAGUAGGCUACAGUUUAACCUGUUGAGACAGCAUUGGUUGGUGCGCAGUGGUGAUAAUGUAAAUUCCAGCCACCGUUCCUAUGGAGAUAGGGUUUGGCUACUAUGAGGCAGGUCUUAUGUUUUCUAUAUGAAUACAUUUCUUUGAUCGUUGGAAAGUGAUUGUUUGUCGAUGUGAUUAUUGAUCUGAAGAAAGGAUUUCUUUGAACUGGCGUGUCUCAUGCAAGUUGAGAAUGGAAAUACACCAAAUAUUUUGUCCUUCAUUUCUUUAUUAUUCCUCAUGAAGGUAUAUUUCAAUUUGAGGACAUGAAGUUAUUUUGUUUCUUCCUUGCUACAUAUGGCUCUGGUAUACAUGAUUAUAACUUUUUCGAUUUAAUGAAUUUAUCUGUUUUGUCGUA